rnacentral:lncRNA from 1 species
AUAGACUAUAGUGUUAAUAUAAAAAUUACAUCUCAUAACUUUUUGAAAUACAUAACUGCACUGGAAAAAUUAGAUCCUUCCUUCUAGUGGUGCUCUUUGCGCCCUUCUUCCACCCUGGCUUCACAUCGAUAGUCAGGUCUCCUCCCUCAGGAUCAUCUUUCCACACAUAAUAGCCAUGAGGAAGUAGCGUUUAGUGUUUAUUCUAGCAUCUAAAAUCAGUUUGUUGUUCUAUUAAAGACAAGUAAGCGUGCAUGUGCAAUAGACGUCUUGUUAGAAAUAAAAAAUGAGGAAGAUCUGAAAUAUCGUUUAGUGUUUAGUGUUUAUUCUAGCAUCUAAAGUUAGGAAUUAAAAUCUGAAAUAUCUAUUUAGCACCUCUUGAAGCCAUCCUUAAACAUGAUGCCACAUAAUUACAAGAUAGAGCUCAAGCUUCCGGCCAGCUCUCCACAUAUCAACGAAUCAAUUAUCAGAAUAUCAAAUAAGUUAUAAUCCAGUAAGCCUAUAGAGAUUAGAGAUCGAUGCACUUGAAUGGAUAGUUAAAUUUACACCGAUAAUGACAUAUGUGAGCUACUCCAUGAAUUUUUGGCAUACCUAGAGACAUAACUAAAAUAAAGAUUCCAUGG